AAAAAGAAACAGAGAUGUGGUAGUUUAGAAACACUAUUGUGUUUGAUCAAAAAAGAAAAAGAAACACUAUUGUGUUUGCCCAAAAAAAAAGAAAAAAAAAGAAACACUAUUGUGAAGCUUUUAGAGAACCUUCAACCCUCAAAUCAGUUUAAAAACACACCAGAUUUUGUUUGGAAAUUAAGAAUAGAUUAGCAAUGGGUCCAGAAAAUUAGUCUCCGAUGAAUUCUUUCGAUGUAUAGACGUUUCCUGUGGAAGAAUAUAGAGAAAAGAUGUUGCUAUUUGACAAACAAGAAAAAGAUUGGGUAUUUAAGUUUUACGUGAGAGAACGUGAAAACAAUAAGAUCGUAUCCAAGUGAAGAGGAUGUUGAGUUUUAAAGAAAGGAACUAGCAUGAAUUUGUAAACCACGUCGAGCAUCGGAUUAUAAGGGUCUUAUAAGAUUUUAUCCAAGUGAUCAGAAAAGGAAAUAGAAGUAGAAUGAAAAAGUAAUUCAAAAAUUUUAUUACUUAAACAAGCAUUGCAAUAAAAUAGAGUUUUCAAAGAAAGUAGAACGAUUAGAAAAACUAGAUUCAAAAAUUGGAGGAGCGGGAUGACCAAGUCGCAAAUGCAACUUAACCAACAUCGAUUUUGAAAAAGAUAAGGCAGAAAAAGAAAUUGUUGUGGUUGGCCACUAUAUAUCGAGGAAAUCUUUUUUGGAUUUUCUUGAGGUCUCCAUGAUUGGUAUAUUGAUGGAGCUGAUGU
rnacentral:lncRNA from 1 species